rnacentral:rRNA from 1 species
AGCGAACGCUGGCGGCAGGCUUAACACAUGCAAGUCGAACGGGCACUUCGGUGUCAGUGGCAGACGGGUGAGUAACACGUGGGAACGUACCUUUUGGUUCGGAACAACACAGGGAAACUUGUGCUAAUACCGGAUAAGCCCUUACGGGGAAAGAUUUAUCGCCGAAAGAUCGGCCCGCGUCUGAUUAGCUAGUUGGUGAGGUAAUGGCUCACCAAGGCGACGAUCAGUAGCUGGUCUGAGAGGAUGAUCAGCCACAUUGGGACUGAGACACGGCCCAAACUCCUACGGGAGGCAGCAGUGGGGAAUAUUGGACAAUGGGCGCAAGCCUGAUCCAGCCAUGCCGCGUGAGUGAUGAAGGCCCUAGGGUUGUAAAGCUCUUUUGUGCGGGAAGAUAAUGACGGUACCGCAAGAAUAAGCCCCGGCUAACUUCGUGCCAGCAGCCGCAGUAA